UCUAUCAAGGAUACUUA
rnacentral:rRNA from 1 species